rnacentral:rRNA from 1 species
UACGUAGGAGGCAAGCGUUGUCCGGAAUUACUGGGCGUAAAGCGCGUGUAGGUGGUGGGACAAGUCUGCUGUGAAAGCGCCUGGCUUAACCGGGCGAGGUCGGCGGAAACUGUUCGACUCGAGGACGGUAGAGGGGGGUGGAAUUCCCGGUGUAGUGGUGAAAUGCGUAGAGAUCGGAAAGAACACCAACGGCGAAAGCACUCUGCUGGGCCGACACUGACACUGAGAGACGAAAGCUAGGGGAGCGAAUGGG